AGGACAGGUAUAGAACUGUUUGUAGGACAGGUAUGGAACUGUUUGUUGGACAGGUAUAGAACUGUUUGUAGGACAGGUAUGGAACUGUUUGUUGGACAGGUAUGGGACUGUUUGUAGGACAGGUAUGGAACUGUUUGUUGGACAGGUAUGGAACAGUUUGUAGGACAGGUAUGGAACAGUUUGUAGGACAGGUAUGGAACUGUUUGUUGGACAGGUAUGGAACAGUUUGUAGGACAGGUAUGGAACAGUUUGUAGGACAGGUAUGGAACAGUUUGUAGGACAGGUAUGGAACAGUUUGUAGGACAGGUAUGGAACAGUUUGUAGGACAGGUAUGGAACAGUUUGUAGGACAGGUAUGGAACUGUUUGCCCUGUUUAUAUUUGUAGACAUUUUCGUGUUUUUAUGUUCUUUUAUUAAUUCAUUUUUUAUUGCCUUUUUUGGUUUGAGUUUUAUCUCAUUUGAUUGGAUUUUAUAUGACACAUAGAAUGGAUUAACUUCCAGGUUUGAAUUUCCUCUUUGUGACAUAAGCGCUCGCUGAGUGGCACUCGUCAUCCUGUCAUCGUUUUUCUGUACCCUUCAUAUGAUGGGAUGGAACAGUUUUGAUCCUGUGUAGCCCUCCUGGUUUGGUGUUGUAUUUCGUCUGUGAAUAAAAUCUAACUUUUUAAAAUA